rnacentral:rRNA from 1 species
UACGUAGGGCGCAAGCGUUGUCCGGAAUUAUUGGGCGUAAAGAGCUCGUAGGCGGUUUGUCGCGUCUGCUGUGAAAACGUGAGGCUUAACCUCGAGCUUGCAGUGGGUACGGGCAGACUAGAGUGCAGUAGGGGAGACUGGAAUUCCUGGUGUAGCGGUGGAAUGCGCAGAUAUCAGGAGGAACACCGGUGGCGAAGGCGGGUCUCUGGGCUGUUACUGACGCUGAGGAGCGAAAGCAUGGGGAGCGAACAGG